AAUAGCACCAUUUGUAUGGGAACCAAGCGUGCCGACUUUUUAGCUGUCACUGAGACGUCACGGUCGGCAUUUAGUGAUGGGAAAACCUAAACGAUUCAAAGACACCAAUGCCCCUCCGCCCCGCAACAAUGCAGCCGUCUCUCUCGUACACAUAGAUUUUAUAUCUGUGGGCUCGCUCCCUCACUCCCCGCUCCCCUGCAAACUAUCCCAAAAAUCGAGUAGUAUGACAAAAAGAUUCAAAGAGGGAGGUCACGCUAUUAAGCGGUUUCAUUCUGUCCACGCUUUUGGAUACCUUCGCGUAAUAUUAAUAUCAAGCUAUGGAAACAGCAAAGUCUCAAAAGAAAACCAGGGAAGACAUUUUUGAAGCCAAAAGAAAAGCUAGCCGAAUACGUCAUGAAAAACCAGUUUUUCCUUCCCGUGGCUGCAAUCCAUUUUUCUUUUACGACCGGAUCAUGUGGGAAACUAUAAGAAAGAGUGUUUUUAAACGUUAUACUUAUGUUGUAUAUGAUUAAAAUUAUAAUAUUUUCACCACACCAACUGAUAAAAACUUGAUUAUUUGAAAACGGAUAGCAAAAAUUUCAUUUUAUCCACAAGAGUGCAAAGUAUUUAAAAAAAAAUGUAACUUGAUGUCAUAAGCUAGCUGGUAGAAUUGACUAAUAUGUAAAUGAUAAUUUUGAAUCAUACAUAUUGAAUAAAUUGAUGGAUUUUAUUUAAGUAAUUUGAUAUUUCAUAGUG
rnacentral:lncRNA from 1 species